rnacentral:rRNA from 1 species
UACGUAGGGUGCGAGCGUUAAUCGGAAUUACUGGGCGUAAAGCGUGCGCAGGCGGCUUCUCAAGUCAGGGGUGAAAGCCCAGAGCUCAACUCUGGAAUUGCCUUUGAGACUGAGAGGCUUGAGUACGGGAGAGGUGAGUGGAAUUCCCAGUGUAGAGGUGAAAUUCGUAGAUAUUGGGAAGAACACCAGUGGCGAAGGCGGCUCACUGGACCGUAACUGACGCUCAUGCACGACAGCGUGGGGAUCAAACAGG